AACGCACAUUGCGCCCGCCAGUACUCUGGCGGGCAUGCCUGUUCGAGCGUCACUCUCUAUCCGUCAAGCCCAGCUUGUGUUGGGGCACUGCGGCUGCCGCAGGCCCCCAAAGGAAGUGGCGGGACCGUUGUCGUGCCGAGCGUAGUACAGCACCUCGCUCCGGCGCCGGCAGUGGCCUCCAGCCGUUAAAGCCCCUACUUUACGUACUGGUUGACCUCGAAUCAGGUAGGAAUACCCGCUGAACUUAA
rnacentral:misc_RNA from 1 species